rnacentral:rRNA from 1 species
AUUGAACGCUGGCGGCAGGCCUAACACAUGCAAGUCGAACGAGUGGCGGACGGGUGAGCAAUGACUGUGAAACUGCCUGAUGGAGGGGGAUAACUACUGGAAACGGUAGCUACUACCGCAUACCAUCGGAUGUGCCCAGAUGGGAUGAGCUAGUAGGUGGGGUAAAGGCUCACCUAGGCGACGAUCCCUAGCUGGUCUGAGAGGAUGACCAGCCACACUGGAACUGAGACACGGUCCAGACUCCUACGGGAGGCAGCAGUGGGGAAUAUUGCACAAUGGGCGAAAGCCUGAUGCAGCCAUGCCGCGUGUGUGAAGAAGGUCUUCGGGUUGUAAAGUACUUUCAGCGGGGAGGCGUUACCAACAGAAGAAGCACCGGCUAACUUCGUGCCAGCAGCCGCGGUAAUUC